rnacentral:rRNA from 1 species
GUGGCGCACGGGUGCGUAACGCGUGGGAACGUACCUCUAGGUACGGAACAACCCAGGGAAACUUGGGCUAAUACCGUAUAAUAUCUUCGGAUCAAAGAUUUAUCGCCUAGAGAUCGGCCCGCGUAGGAUUAGCUAGUUGGUGAGGUAAUGGCUCACCAAGGCUACGAUCCUUAGCUGGUCUGAGAGGAUGACCAGCCACACUGGAACUGAGACACGGUCCAGACUCCUACGGGAGGCAGCAGUGAGGAAUAUUGGACAAUGGGGGAAACCCUGAUCCAGCCAUGCCGCGUGAGUGAUGAAGGCCUUCGGGUUGUAAAACUCUUUUAGAUGUGACGAUGAUGACGGUGACAUCAGAGAAAGCUCCGGCUAACUUCGUGCCAGCAGCCGCGGUAAUACGAAGGGAGCGAGCGUUGUUCGGAAUCACUGGGCUUUAAGCGUGCGUAGGCGGAUUAGUAAGUCAGGAGUGAAAUCCCAGGGCUUAACCCUGGAACUGCUCUUGAGACUGCUAGUCUGGAAUUCGGUAGAGGUUGGUGGAACUCCCAGUGUAGAGGUGAAAUUCGCAGAUAUUGGGAAGAACACCGGUGGCGAAGGCGACCAACUGGACCGAUAUUGACGCUGAGGCACGAAAGCGUGGGUAGCAAACAGGAUUAGAUACCCUGGUAGUCCACGCUGUAAGCCAUGUAUGCUAGCUGUUGGAGUCCUCAGGGCUUCGGCGGCGGAGGGAAACCAUUAAGCAUACCGCCUGGGGAGUACGGUCGCAAGAUUAAAACUCAAAGGAGUUGACGGGGACCCGCACAAGCGGUGGAGCAUGUUGUUCAAUUCGAAGCAACGCGAAGAACCUUACCUACCCUUGACAUAUCCCUUAGGGCUGCCAGAGAUGGCGGUUUUCGGUUCGGCCGGGGGGAAUACAGGUGCUGCAUGGCUGUCGUCAGCUCGUGUCGUGAGAUGUUGGGUUAAGUCCCGCAACGAGCGCAACCCUCAUUGUCUGUUGCCAUCAGGUUAAGCUGGGCACUCUGACAAGACUGCCGGUGACAAGCCGGAGGAAGGCGGGGAUGACGUCAAGUCAUCAUGGCCCUUACGGGUAGGGCCACAAACGUGCUACAAUGGCGGUGACAGUGGGCACCGAGGCCGCGAGGCCAAGGCAAUCCCAAAAAGCCGUCUCAGUUCAGAUUGUAGUCUGCAACUCGACUACAUGAAGCUGGAAUCGCUAGUAAUCGUGGAUCAGCACGCCACGGUGAAUACGUUCCCGGGUCUUGUACACACCGCCCGUCACGUCAUGGAAGUUGGUUCUACCUGAAGACAGUGCGCUAACCGCAAGGAGGCAGCUGGCCACGGUAGGGUCGAUGACUGGGACGAAGUCGGAACAAGGUA